UCUUCCUGUUGAGGAAAUCUUUACCAUGCGAGGCAAAGGAAGGAGGACCUCUUCAGAAACGCCAAAGCAGCAUAAGUGAGGACAUCAGUCUUUGGCAGACCUUCCUCUGGUUCUCUUCUGUGUACUACGCAGGCGUCGGGGCAUGUGCGUGUGUUUUAUCUUCAUGGUGGCUGACCCUAUCAAGCAUA